CGGCGGACGGGUGAGUAACGCGUGGGUAACCUGCCUCAUACAGGGGGAUAACAGUUGGAAACGGCUGCUAAUACCGCAUAAGCGCACAGUACCGCAUGGUACGGUGUGAAAAACUCCGGUGGUAUGAGAUGGACCCGUGUCUGAUUAGGUAGUUGGUGGGGUAACGGCCUACCAAGCCGACGAUCAGUAGCCGACCUGAGAGGGUGACCGGCCACAUUGGGACUGAGACACGGCCCAA
rnacentral:rRNA from 1 species